rnacentral:lncRNA from 1 species
CAAAACCUUGAUCCUCGCGCGCGCGAUCUACACCUGCAAAACAGCACAAGCAGCACGCUCCCUACGCAGGUAUUAACCUGUUCAGGUGCAAAGGGACUCUCUCAGCCUGUCCCUGAGACGGACAAGCACCCCUGGUGCUACCACUGUCAGCAAUGCAAAAUAGCGAACCUUCAAACUUAUAGAGCAAAAACGAAAGAGAAAUCUAGCUACACAGGCGAGAGCACCACCAUUUAUUCCCUACAAACCAAACCAAACUCUACCUUCAAACUUGACCGUCAUCUUCUCCAGAUCCAAAUCCUGUCGCUCCUUUCCUUGGCGAGGUCACCUACAAAGACAAAACUUUCAAGCAACUGAAGAAAAGAAAGAAAAGCUUACCUUGUGAGACAAGAUGAUCUUUGGUCCAUCGCUCUUAAGCAACUGGUUCUUUGCUUUCCUCCGGUAAAUAGAUCUCCCCGCCGGACUCUCCCCACUGCUCGCCGGUGAUGGUCUUCUUCGCAGCUGAAAACUCCUGGCUCAUCUUAGCCAUGCCCUCUUUCAUCGCGUCCUCCAUAUUGGUGUAGCCAUGCUCCUCAGCAUACUUCCUCACGUCCUCCGUGAUCUUCAUGGAGCAAAACUUUGGACCACACAUCGAGCAAAAGUGCGCGACUUUUGCUCCUUCGCUCGGCAGCGUCUCGUCGUGAAACGCCAUCGCUGUCAUGGGGUCCAACGACAGUGCAAACUGGUCCCUCCACCGGAACUGGAAUCUCGCCGUGCUCAGCGCGUCGUCCCAAGCCUGAGCAAAAGGAUGCUGUUUCGCAAGGUCCGCAGCGUGAGCAGCGAUCUUGUAAGUUAUCACCCCUUGCUUCACGUCGUCCCUGUUCGGCAGCCCGAGAUGUUCCUUCGGCGUCACGUAGCACAGCAGCGCAGUCCCGAGAGCUCCAAUGGUGGCGGCUCCAAUGCCCGAAGUUAUGUGAUCGUAUCCAGGGGCGAUAUCGGUCGUCAAGGGCCCCAGCGUGUAAAACGGUGCCUCGUUACACCAGUCGAGCUGCUUCUCCAUGUUUUCUGGGAUCUUGUGGAGUGGUACGUGGCCGGGGCCUUCGUUCAUCACCUGGACAUCCUUCUCCCAGGCCCGGCGAGUGAGCUCGCCUUGGACAGCCAGCUCCGAGAAUUGCGACUGAUCGUUCGCGUCGUGGAUCGAGCCGGGUCGCAGGCCAUCGCCGAUGGAGAGCGAGAUAUCAUACUGGUUGCAAAUGUCGAGGAUAUCGUCCCAGUGCUCGUACGCAAAGUUCUCCUUGUGAUGCGUCAGGCACCACUUCGCAUGAAUGGAGCCACCCCUGGAAACUAUUCCCGUCACCCGGUUUGCUGUGAGUGGGAUGAACCGCAGCAGCACACCAGCAUGGAUCGUGAAGUAGUCCACACCCUGCUCGGCCUGUUCCAUGAGAGUUUCUCGAAACACCUCCCACGUCAAGUUCUCGGCGAUGCCGUCAACUUUCUCGAGCGCUUGAUAGAUGGGAACAGUCCCGACCGGCACCGAAGCGUUCCUUAGAAUCCACUCUCUCGUCUCGUGGAUAUGGCGGCCUGUGGACAGAUCCAUGAUCGUGUCAGCUCCCCAUCGAGUCGCCCACUGUAACUUCUGGACUUCCUCCUCGAUCGAGCUCGUCACAGCCGAGUUGCCGAUGUUUGCGUUAACUUUGACGAGGAAGUUCCUCCCGAUGAUCAUCGGCUCCAGCUCCGUGUGCUUCUUGUUGGAGGGAAUGAUCGCCCGGCCUCGAGCAACCUCCGAGCGGAUGAACUCGGGUUCCAUGCUCUCUCUGGUCGCGCAGUAGAGCAUCUCCUCAGUGAUGACUCCCUUCUUUGCGUAGAACAUUUGCGUCAUCCUUGGCUGGGACUUUGCCUCGCGUCUCUCGAUCCAAGCUUUCCUGAGUUUCGGGAUUCCUGCGCAAAGGCAUGCAUGAGAGAAAAAAAAAGAAUGGAUCGACAGCAUACCAUUUCGCGGAUCGAUGUUUUGAGGUCCAGUGGUAUCAUAGAGAUCAAACGGCGGGUGUCCACCGGAUAGAUGCACGCGACGAAAGGGAACCUUGAGCGUAGAUCCUGUUUCUUCAUGCACAACGUCUCUAAGAAAUGCAAAGAAAGAGACCAAUCGAUCAAUCGUAGAGAAAGAAACCAAUCGAUCAAUCGAUAAAAAAAGAAGAAGAUUUCUUACGUGGUUUCUUUGGUGCAAUUUGGGAAGCACUCCUCGAACGAUGGCAGUGGCAUGAACUUUGGGGCUGAGGGAUCCUCCGUGGGACGCGUCCUGGCCGAGAGCAAUCCCUUCGAGUGCCCAUUCGAUGCCCCGGUUGCGGCCGCGGGGACGGCAUUCACCGCCUUAAUCACGAGAGUUCUCACCUUCUUGGCCUUGGUCGACCCCAGGAGCCGCGCCACGGCGCCUUGAUUGGAUCCAAUCGCCGCAUCGCUGUGGGAGAUGGAAGAGAGGGCGCAGCUCGACGCCAUAGUGGCCAUCGAUCGAGCUCGAAAUAUCCCAAAAUGCCAAAGUUCCCUCUCUCUUUAAUUGGAGGGAGAAAUAUCUAUGCCAACCUUUGCUCGUACACAUUUCUUUGACCGUACACAUCAAGUUAUAUAUAAGCGCUUAUUUUCAAAUGGAAUGAUCGUUCCUUCUUCAAAACCUGUUCAUGCCGAGCGAAGAAAAACUUUGCUGCUGCUGUUGCUGUUGCUGCUGUUGCUGCUGCUGCUGCUUGGAGGAAUUGCCGCUGCUCGGCAUCCCAACUGCGUCGUGCGAUUGGAAGCUCUGAUGGUGCCGGUGAUGGUGGUGGUGAACUUGAUGAGCCGCUUGAUGAGGCUGCUGCUGUUGAUGAGCUUGGGCUUUCGGCGAUGGAGACCCUCCAUCGCUGGCAGCAGAGGUUAGAAUGUAUUGAGUGUUCUGAGUACCGAUAGCUGUCGAGGCGGAUGAUCCGGCCGAGAGUUCGUAGCUUGUUGGAGACUUUGUCCAUGCGUCUGAUGACAGAAGAGAGAGAGCACGGCCUGAGUCGAGCACGGGGCUUAGUCCUCCGCCGCCUCCCCCUCCACCCCCGCCCGAGGAGGAGGAGAGCGAGAGUUUGGCCAUGCUGCUGUUUGACGCCGUGAUGGCUGCUGCUGUUGUCGACGACGACGAGGAGAUCGUCGGGAGGCCGGUUGGUCUCUUGGAGUUUUGGAGCAGCAGCAGCAGCUUCUCCGGGGAGAGGUUCUCCACAAGCUGUUUGCUGAGGAACUGGUCGCGGCCGAGGCGUCCCCAGGCGCCGGCGCCGUAGCCGAGAGCGUGAUCGCUGUGACUGUCGACGAUGAUCGAGGAGCCGACGCCGAGCCUUUGGUAGGCAGCUGGCCAAAGGAGAAAAAGCAACGUCAGCCGAGAUAAAAGCAGCGAAGUUUAUAUGAACUUCACCUUGGAAGCUAGCGUUUCCCAUGUUGUAAGCAGCUAGAGCGUCGGGCUGUGGCUUCCUCCGCCGCUCGUUAUGCCCCUGCAGACGUCUCCGGCAGCUCCGUUUCCCCUCGUCAAACUCGGGCAGCAAGUGGAACCUGUGAGAGCAAGACCAGAGUGUGUGAGCCAACUAAUGAUUGUAAGGAAAGAACCAGCAAAGAAUUCGUUCAAGCAAGAGAGAAAAGAAUAAGAAACGAGAAAAAUCGCUCUCCUGGCACACAAAGCUUGCAAGCAAGAUCGAAGAAAAAAAGAGAAAAACUUAAGUAUGGAGUGAUGGAAAAAUCUCUCCUGACACUUCCACUCACGCACUGACCUGCUGCAUUGCUGACAGAAUCUUUGCUCCUGGCCAUUGACAGUGUUCUUGGGAGUCUUGGAGUGGACUUCGCAAACUUUGUGGCGGCGGUGGUAGUCCUUGGAGCCGGAGAGAUCCGCCUGGCAGCCCUCGACUUGGCACUUGGGAGUGACGCUGGUUUGCGAGCAGCCCCGCCCCUUUUUGGCCGGAGGAGUCGAGGAUGGAGGAGGCGUUCCGGCCGCCGCUGGCGCUGGCGAGGCCUUUUGCUCCUCGUAGGUCCUCUUGCCGAGCUUCAAGGCCAUGGGAGACGAGGAAUUCGCCGCUUCUUUCGUGUCCUCGUCCAUCUCCUCCCAAGAUCGCGCCUGCGCUCCGCCCGGCGAGGAUUUGCCGGGGCUGUAGCCGCUGAUGCCGCUGCUGCAAAACCCUAACUCCUCCCCAGGAUUUCUCGGCGCCUUGACGGAUUUCCACUCCCAGGGCUGCUGCUGCUGCUGCUGCAUCUUACCUCGAUCCGCGUCGCCGCUGGCCGGGGAUUUCGAUGCUCCUGCGCUGGUCUUGGACGGGGAGAGCGCUGCGGGAGAAUAGGAGGGAGAAGAGGACGACGCCAUUCCUUUCUCUUUCUUUUUUCUUCUUUUCUCUUCUCUGGUUGGUUUUUGUUUUCUCUCCCCUGUUGUUGGUGUGUGUACACUGAAAUUUUAAAUGGCGAAUAUUGUAUUAAAUACAGGUAAGAAAUUGGCAGCACGAUUUCUGGAUUGGUGGAAAUGCUGCAUUCCUAUUGGACGCUGUAAAGCCCAUGAACCGCUUUAUACCGUUCCGGGCCCGACACGUGUCCGUAUGGGACAGCACGGAUGGGUGCCACCGGCCCACCUGAGUGGAGAAUAUUCCUGUUUAUGGGAUUACAUUAACUUAAAUCUGUAUCAAAUGUAUGUUACGCCAUGACCUAAAUGAGUUUUUUUUCUAAUCUUCUAGUUUAGGGCAAAGCCAUUUGAAAGUAAAAGUCCCGCCAUUUUCGGGUCAGGGGCUUUUGGGCAUUGCCCCGGAUUGGCGGCGAUGUCGAUGAGCGGCUGUCCGCUAGGUAUUGCGCCAGUGAGCUAGUUGUGGGAGACAUCAGUGAUGCUGUUGGAGCUGAGGCUCAGCACUGCUACGCCGUUGAUGGUGUCUUGGUCAUUGGGAUCUUGCCCAACCAGCUCGGAAUGGCUCAAGGCCAAGAAGGUGAGAACUCUCGUUAUUAAGGCGGUGAAUGCCGCCCCCGCGGCCGCUACCGGGGCAUCGAACGGCCACUCGAAGGGAUUGCUCUCGGCAAGGACGCGUCCCACGGAGGAUCCCUCGGCCCCAAAGUUCAUGCCACUGCCAUCGUUCGAGGAGUGCUUCCCAAAUUGCACCAAAGAAACCACGUAAGAAAUCUUCUUCUUUUUUUUAUCGAUUGAUCGAUUGGUUUCUUUCUCUACGAUUGAUCGAUUGGUAUCGUAGAGAUCAAACGGGGGGUGUCCACUGGAUAGAUGCACGCGACGAAAGGGAACCUUGAGCGUAGAGCCUGUUUCUUCAUGCACAACGUCUCUAAGAAAUGAAGAAAGAGACCGCAAAACAUCGAUCCGCGAAAUGGUAUGCUGUCGAUCCAAUUUUUUUUUCUCUCAUGCAUGCCUUUGAGCAGGAAUCCCGAAACUCAGGAAAGCUUGGAUCGAGAGACGCGAGGCAAAGUCCCAGCCAAGGAUGACGCAAAUGUUCUACGCAAAGAAGGGAGUCAUCACUGAGGAGAUGCUCUACUGCGCGACCAGAGAGAGCAUGGAACUCGAGUUCGUCCGCUCGGAGGUUGCUCGAGGCCGGGCGAUCAUUCCCUCCAGCAAGAAGCACACGGAGCUGGAGGCGAUGAUCAUCGGGAGGAACUUCCUCGUCAAAGUUAACGCAAACACCGGCAACUCGUCUGUGACGAGCUCGAUCGAGGAGGAAGUCCAGAAGUUACAGUGGGCGACUCGAUGGGGAGCUGACACGAUCAUGGAUCUGUCACAGGCCGCCAUAUACACGAGACGAGAGAGUGGAUUCUAAGGCCGGUCGGGACUGUUCCCAUCUAUCAAGCGCUCGAGAAAGUUGACGGCAUCGCCGAGAACUUGACGUGGGAGUUGUUUCAAGAAACUCAGGCCCAGCAGGGUGUGGACCACUUCACGAUCCAUGCUGGUGUGCUGCUGCGGUUCAUCCCACUCACAGCAAACCGGGUGACGGGAAUAGUUUCCAGGGGUGGCUCCAUUCACGCAAAGUGGUGCCUGACACAUCACAAGGAGAACUUUGCGUACGAGCACUGGGACGAUAUCCUCGACAUUUGCAAUCAGUAUGAUAUCUCGCUCUCCAUCGGCGAUGGCCUGCGACCCGGCUCGAUUCACGACGCGAACGAUCAGUCGCAAUUCUCGGAGCUGGCUGUAUAAGGCGAGCUCACUCGCCGGGCCUGGGAGAAGGAGGUCCAGGUGAUGAACGUAGGCCCCGGCCUCGUACCACUCCACAAGAUCCCAGAAAACAUGGAGAAGCAGCUCGACUGGUGUAACGAGGCACCGUUUUACACGCUGGGGCCCUUGACGACCGAUAUCGCCCCUGGAUACGAUCACAUAACUUCGGGCAUUGGAGCCGCCACCAUUGGAGCUCUCGGGACUGCGCUGCUGUGCUACGUGACGCCGAAGGAACAUCUCGGGCUGCCGAACAGGGACGACGUGAAGCAAAUACGCUGCGGACCUUGCGAAACAGCAUCCUUUCGCUCAGGCUUGGGACGACGCGCUGAGCACGGCGAGAUUCUAGUUCCGGUGGAGGGACCAGUUUGCACUGUCGUUCCCCCAUGACAGCGAUGGCGUUUCACGACGAGAGCGAAGGAGCAAAAGUCGCGUACUUUUGCUCCAUGUGUGGUCCAAAGUUUUGCUCCAUGAAGAUCACGGAGGACGUGAGGAAGUAUGCCGAGGAGCAUGGCUACACCAAUAUGGAGGACGCGAUGAAAGACGGCAUGGCUAAGAUGAGCCAGGAGUUUUCAGCUGCGAAGAAGACCAUCACCGGCGAGCAGUGGGGAGAGUCCGGCGGGGAGAUCUACUUACCGUAGGAAAGCAAGGAACCAGUUGCUUAAGAGCGAUGGACCAAAGAUCAUCUUGUCUCACAAGGUAAGCUUUUCUUUCUUUUCUUCAGUUGCUUGAAAGCUUUGUCUUUGUAGGUGAUCUCACCAAAGAAAGGAGCAACAGGAUUUGGAUCUGGAGAAGAUGACGAUCAAGUUUGAAGGUAGAGUUCGGUUUGGUUUGUAUUGAAUAGGUGGAGGUGCUCUCGCUUGUGUAGCUAGAUUUCUCUUUCGUUUUUGCUCUAUAAGUUUGAGGGUUCACUAUUUUUCAUUUCUGACAGUGGUAGCACCAGGGGUGCUUGUCCGUCUCAGGGACAGGCUGAGAGAGUCCCUUUGCACCUGUGAACAGGUUAAUACCUGCGUAGGGAGCGUGCUGCUUGUGCUGUUUUGCAGGUGUGGAUCGCGCGCGCGAGGAUCAAAGUUUUGUUCCGAGCGAGAAUCAAUCGAUGAUCGCUUCGAUUGUCCAAGGUAUGUGGUUCCAUCCGUCGAGAUCUUGGUUUUUCUUGGAUUCUUUCUAGUUGCAGCGUUUUUAUUCUUCGUAUUAUGUUCUUUCUAACGAGUUCGGUCACUAAAUAUUGUACGGCAAGAAAAUUCCAAGGCUGUAAAACAGGAAUGAAUGAAUGAAUAUGAUUAUUUUCCAUUCGCAAAAAUCGGUGUAACCAUUGUAAGAUUGGCACCUUUUACAUUCUCA